CCGUCGGUGUGGGGUUGGGGGGUCUGGUCGACCGCGUUCUCGAUUCCUGGUGGAGUUUCUUCUCUGGCUGCCGCUAGGUCUCCUCUCGGAUCCGGCAGAUCCUCUCCCUCCGCUGGCUGGUCUUGCCGGCUGCGGCGGCUUUGCUCUCCAAUCUGGCCGCUGCUCUCUCUUCAUCGGCGAUCUGGGUCUGGAGGGGCUGUUUCUUUGGCGGGAUUUCUUCGCCUAUUCGUUUGGCCGGAGUGGCCUGCUGGUUUACCCGAGGCACCUUCAUUCUUCUUGAUUUUUUCCUCUUUCUUUUUCGGAUGGCUCUGCGUUGAUGGUCUAUAUGUGUGCUGCUCUUUGUUCUUUGUACCUAUAUAAGAAAUGGCCGUGUUCUAAUCGAUUGUUGUUGUGGAGUCGGCAUACUGCUCUCGGAGGCGGCAGCGUCGGGAUCCGUUUCUUCGGCAUGCUUCACAGUUGGGGGGGUUGAAUCCGGGCGGUGCUGGUGGUGGGUUGCUGGUUACUGCUCUUCCUCUUCACUGUUCUCUUUUUUGUUCUAAGAUGGUGGUUCUUCUGUUGCCAACACACACAAACGCCUCAGCAGCACCUACUUCAUAAGUUGUUGUUCAUGACGAACUUGUGCCGUUGCAUCUAGGCAUGCACCGGCAGAGGCAAAUGGUGUAGAGGACCAGGGCUCAUCAAGCAACAAGAAUGCACGGUCGGGGCAUGUGCUAACACAGCUUAUUCACGUCACGACGAAGUUCCAGACCGGCGACAUUCACCUCUACAGGAUGGAUCCCGUGCCUCUGAUCAUGUUGCUGAUCGCGCCCGACACACGGUCUUCUUCGUGGCAGGGGCCAUGUAUUCAUGGUUCCUAGACCUGCCAUCAAGUUUGGGCAUACACACGAUUUGGAAAGAAAGAACUUAGGAUUCUACUGAGGUUCUGUGCAACACAUUUAGCUUGGCAACAUGUGAGAAAAUUGCAUGACUGAAUUUGAAACAUUUGUCAAAGGUUCCGAAAUCUGCUAUUGCAUGGCCAUGGCUGCUAAAAAAAAGUGACAAGAUCAGUAGAACAUGGACUCCUUUGAAGAAUGUAAACCCGAAUUCAUGUGGACAUCAAGUGCAGCAGCAGGAAUUCGCCUUGGUUCAACAAUAGUUGUUGACUGCAUCUAAUCACCAUCUCUUGCAGGUCGAUCAUACAGGCUGAUUAUCCUUCAGCACAUUUGCGCCGUCCUUCAGUUGCCCAUCAAUUCCAUCCAUACCAUCCGCCAUAGCAAUGGCCCUUCGAGGGUUAUAUCGGCAUAGGGAUACUGUCGGAUGGUGUCAACUCCUAGACAUCAGCCGUCCCAAGGUUCUGCCAUGGCGACCACAUGCCCACCGAGUUUGCCGCUGUGGAGUGUGCAUGGGAGAGCACACACAAGACGGUCAAAGUUGAGAAUCAUUCCCCAAACAACAGGCGGAUCAGCUCUAUGCAGCAUCGUUGACUUACCAGCCACCCCACCAGGGCGUGGCAAGAAAAGGCGCAGCGUCAGUCCAACUGUCUACAAAUAGUUAGAGGGAGGCUGCCUAGAAUUACUAAUUAGAAAUAGAAAGAAAAAUAAAAUACUUUCUCUGAUCCAAAUUAACUGGCGCAGCUAUAUACUAUGUAUUAUCAGCUCCCAUUACACAAAUUAAGUAAUUCUUUUUUUUUUGCCCAAUACAAUUGAGUGGUGAACUAAUAUUAGGUGUUUAUUUGCAUGUGAGUUCUUGAA